UUCAAAUAGGGAACCUAUAGAUUUUGAGCAUGUCUUUUUACCAGACACCAAGAAGCCCAAAUUGCCUUUGGGUGCGCCUGAAUGUAUUCAGAAGAGAUACCACCUAUUUACACUUAUUUCGCUAAAAAGAGGCAUCACCAGUACCAAACCCCAUGUUCCAAUCUGAAAUUGAACUGAAGAACCAGGAAGACUCUGAGGUUGUUGCUGGUUGUAAAUGAGUAAAAAAGAUGUAAAGGACAGGGUGAGGAGAGAUUUGUUGCCAGUUAUGGAGGAGACAGACUCAAGGGCUGAGAUAAUUAAGCCAGGACCAUACAGGAUCACAGUCCAGGGAGCAUAGACAGCUGAUAAGGAGAGAGAGACAGUUGCCAGCAGCCUGACUGCUGUGGGUGCUGGCUGUGAUGAUUCAGAAGCAAACCAGGGUAUGAUUGAGACAUCUUCAGAGGAUGAAAAGGAUAAAUGUAAGCAGAGUCAGGAUGAGCCCCACCCUGACAUCUGAUGGAAGGUGAUUUAUUAAACUGAAUUUGUGCCCGAGGAAAGCUGAAGGAUGGUGAUUAUAAAAAAAGCAAUGGGGAUUCCUUUUUGUUGGUUGAAAUGAUUUUCUAAGAAAGAGGAAGAGAUGCCUCCAAAAUACUCUUCCUCCCUUUCUGUCUGCUCACAGCCUCAACACCAUCUGAAGGACAAAGGACUUAACAUUGAGGGAGGGGUCCUGGCUGAAAGGCAUCUAGCCAGUAAGACUUGAAGCAUAGGGUGAAAGAAAUCUUUGCUUUAAAUUCAUCUAGCUUAUUAAGUUAGACAUU